GUGCUUGCUUCGGCAGCAUAUAUAUACUAAAAUUGGAAUGAUACAGAAAAGAUUAGUAUGUCCCCUGCGCAAGGAUGACACGCAAAUUUGUGAAGCAUUCCAUAUUUUU